UGGUUGUUGAAUUGAUUUGAUGGUGGUGGAAUUCUGCGAAUGGUGGUGGUGGUGGCAGGGGGGAGGCGGCGGCGGAUUGGGGGAGGGAAUGGGGCGGCGAAUGGGCGGCGCCGGUGGUGUUGGCAGGGUGAGGCGGCGGUAGGUUGGGGAAGGGGGAUAAGGGUUUGAGGAAGAUGAUGAUGAUUUGGAUUUUUAUUUUUUAUUUUUUUGCCACAUGUAAAAAAUAUGUUUAGGUGUCAAUUCCGGCUGCCAGCUCGUCGAUUCCGGCUGCCACAGUGGCAUUUCCGGCGCCGGCGUAAGAAAAAACCGGUCGCCGGAUAAAUUUGAGACAAAAACAAAAGGUUAGGUAUUUAAAAG
rnacentral:lncRNA from 1 species